rnacentral:rRNA from 1 species
UACGGAGGGGGCGAGCGUUGUCCGAAGUUACUGGGCGUAAAGCGCGCGUAGGCGGGUUGGUAAGUCCGCUGUGAAAGCCCGGAGCUCAACUCCGGAGGGUCGGUGGAUACUGCCAGUCUUGAAGGUGCUAGGGGGAGAUGGAAUUACCGGUGUAGCGGUGAAAUGCGUAGAUAUCGAGCGGAACACCAGUGGCGAAGGCGAGUCCCUGGACAAUUCCUGACACUGAGGCACGAAAGCUAGGGGAGCAAACAGG